rnacentral:rRNA from 1 species
GUAGGUGGCAAGCGUUGUCCGGAAUUAUUGGGCGUAAAGCGCGCGCAGGCGGUCCUUUAAGUCUGAUGUGAAAGCCCACGGCUCAACCGUGGAGGGUCAUUGGAAACUGGGGGACUUGAGUACAGAAGAGGAAAGCGGAAUUCCAAGUGUAGCGGUGAAAUGCGUAGAGAUUUGGAGGAACACCAGUGGCGAAGGCGGCUUUCUGAUCUGUAACUGACGCUGAGGCGCGAAAGCGUGGGGAGCAAACAGGGAUUAGAUACCCUGGUAGUCCACGCCGUAAACGAUGAGUGCUAAGUGUUAGGGGGUUUCCCGCCCCUUAGUGCUGCAGCUAACGCAUUAAGCACUCCGCCUGGGGAGUACGGCCGCAAGGCUG